ACGGGAGGCAGCAGUAGGGAAUAUUGGUCAAUGGGUGCGAGCCUGAACCAGCCAUGCCGCGUGCAGGAAGAAGGCCUUCUGGGUUGUAAACUGCUUUUUCCAGGGGAUAAAACGUCUAUGCGUAGAUAAUUGAAGGUACCUGGGGAAUAAGCCACGGCUAACUACGUGCCAGCAGCCGCGGUAAUACGUAGGUGGCGAGCGUUGUCCGGAUUUAUUGGGUUUAAAGGGUGCGUAGGCGGCCAAGUAAGUCAGUGCUGAAAUAUCCCGGCUUAACUGGGAGGGUGGCAUUGAUACUGCGUGGCUAGAGUACAGAUGAGGUAGGCGGAAUUGACGGUGUAGCGGUGAAAUGCUUAGAUAUCGUCAAGAACACCUAUAGCGAAGGCAGCUUACUAGGCUGUAACUGACGCUGAGGCACGAAAGUGUGGGGAUCAAACAGGAUUAGAUACCCUGGUA
rnacentral:rRNA from 1 species